CUGGAUAGCUCAGAGGGUUAGAGCAGCAGACCAUGAAUCUGCGGGUCGCGGGUUCGACUCCCGCUCCAAACCA
rnacentral:tRNA from 1 species